GACGAACGCUAGCUGUGUGCUUAACACAUGCAAGUCGAACGUAAAUGCCCUGCUGUUGUGGGGUGCUCAAGUGGCGAACUGGUGAGUAACACGUUAUUAACCUGCCCUUGUCUUUGGGAUAACUUCCGGAAACUCGGGCUAAUACCUGAUAGGUGCUCCUGCUCCAUGGUGUUGGUUGGAAAUUUUCGGCGGUUGUGGAUGGAGUCGCGGCUUAUCAGGUUGUUGUUGGGGUAGUUGCUUACCAAGGCUUUGGACGGUGGCCGGCCUGAGAGGGUGACCGGCCAAAUUGGGAAUGAGAUACGGCCCAGAAUCCUAAGGGAGGCAGGAGGGGGGAAUAUUGCAAAAAGGGCGGAAGCCUGAUGCAGCAAAGACGGGUGCGGGAUGAAGGCCUUAGGGUUGUAAAAAGCUUUCGCCAGUGACGAAGCGUGAGUGACGGUAAUGGGUAAAGAAGCACCGGCUAACUACGUG
rnacentral:rRNA from 1 species